AUGACAGAGAAACAACCAAAAGAAAAAGGAGUGACAAUGAGACUCCACCUCCCAGUAAGAGCCGAAAACGGCAGAGUGCAUCCUCCAGCCCAGCUCACAGCCCAUCCCCUCAAAGAGGGAAACCACAGAAUAAAUCAGAUUCUCGUCCAGAUGAGGGGAGGAAAGGGAGAUCACCUGACAGAAGGCGCCGUGGACGUAGUGAGGAAAGUCCAAAACGGGUGGAAGUCCGAGAGAGGUCACCUAGACGCUCAAGAACACCUGAGCACAGUAGAAGAGACAAAGGCCGACAACGCGAGAGAGAACAAGUGCAAGAAAAACCUCAGAGAAGACGACAGGACUCCUCAUCACCAUCUCCUCCACGCAAGCAGCAGCGACAACAGAGCGAAGAGAAAGAGAAACCCUCUCAGCGGAAAAGACACAACUCUCUGUCUCGCUCUCCGUCUCCUAAGCAGCAGAGAGACAAGAACCGAGGGGACAAUGAGAGAAAGAACAAAGGUCAAAGAAGACAUGACUCGUCCUCGUCCCCGUCCCCCUCUCCACGUAAAGAUAGAACAAGAAGAGGACACAGUGGAGAGAAAGAGAGAGCUGUUUCCCCCAGGGACAGGGAGAAGGAGAGGCAUGGGGACAGAGCGAGAGACAGACCGAGGAAUAGCGAUAGAGAUACAAUCCCAUCUACUAGAACAGAUGACCGAGGACGGGAGACUGAUAAAGGGAAGGAGAGAGACAGAAACCGAUCUAGUGACUCCAUGUCUCCUGAUAAGCGUUCACCUUAUGCCAACGGAAGGCAAAAAGAAGGAAAUCAUGAACUAGAGAAAGAACGAGAAGAACAGCGAGAGAAGGACAGAAGACGGGAGGAGGAGAUGAAAGAAGAAGCUUUGAGAAAAGCCAGAGAGAGUGACAGAGAAAAGGAGAGAAACCGCACCAGAAGAGAAGAAGUGUCUCGAUCAGACAGGAAGUCCUCCUCUAGCGGUCAGCCUGAGGACAGACGAGGUGCCAGAGGAAGUGAGAUGGACCAAGAGGUGGCCAAGAAAGACGGGAGUCCUCAAGACCAGAAGAAGGACAAACAGAUGCAAAAGGAAAAGCCCGGGAUGAAAGACAAACUAAAAGCUGCGAGCAGUAGUAGUAGUAGUAGCAGCAGCAGCAGCGAAAGUGACAGUGACAGCUCCUCCUCAUCAUCUUCAUCCUCCUCCUCCUCCUCUUCGUCAUCUUCAUCCUCGGAAGAUGAAAAGAAGAAAAAGAAAAGUUCAAAAGACAGCAGUGCUGCUGGUAGGUCAGUUUC
ensembl:lncRNA